GACGAACGCUGGCGGCGUGCCUAAUACAUGCAAGUUGAGCGCUGAAGGUUGGUACUUGUACCAACUGGAUGAGCAGCGAACGGGUGAGUAACGCGUGGGGAAUCUGCCUUUGAGCAGGGGACAACAUUUGGAAACGAAUGCUAAUACCGCAUAAAAACUUUAAACACAAGUUUUAAGUUUGAAAGAUGCAAUUGCAUCACUCAAAGAUGAUCCCGCGUUGUAUUAGCUAGUUGGUGAGGUAAAGGCUCACCAAGGCGAUGAUACAUAGCCGACCUGAGAGGGGGGUCGGCCACAUUGGGACUGAGAACCGGCCCAAACUCCUACGGGAGGCAGCAGUAGGGAAUCUUCGGCAAUGGACGAAAGUCUGAACGAGCAACGCCGCGUGAGUGAAGAAGGUUUUCGGAUCGUAAAACUCUGUUGGUAGAGAAGAACGUUGGUGAGAGUGGAAAGCUCACCAAGUGACGGUAACUACCCAGAAAGGGACGGCUAACUACGUG
rnacentral:rRNA from 1 species